AUCUUUUUCAAGUCAUUUGUAUUUAGGUUUAAAUUCUAAAAUAGUAGAUCCAACUAGGCUUGAGAAAUAUCCUCGCAUCAAGACUUAGAACAUGUAAACUAGAAUAAAUAAGUUAAAUUAAUUUAAAUAAUUUAAAAAAUAAUAUUUUAUUAUGUGUAUACCUAUCAAAAGGUAUCACAUAUUUACAUUUUUUUUGGUUAAUCACACACACACACACACACACACACACACACACACACAUAUACACACACACAC
rnacentral:lncRNA from 1 species